rnacentral:rRNA from 1 species
AAAUUGAAGAGUUUGAUCAUGGCUCAGAUUGAACGCUGGCGGCAGGCCUAACACAUGCAAGUCGAGCGGUAGCACAGAGAGCUUGCUCUCGGGUGACGAGCGGCGGACGGGUGAGUAAUGUCUGGGAAACUGCCUGAUGGAGGGGGAUAACUACUGGAAACGGUAGCUAAUACCGCAUAACGUCGCAAGACCAAAGUGGGGGACCUUCGGGCCUCAUGCCAUCAGAUGUGCCCAGAUGGGAUUAGCUAGUAGGUGGGGUAACGGCUCACCUAGGCGACGAUCCCUAGCUGGUCUGAGAGGAUGACCAGCCACACUGGAACUGAGACACGGUCCAGACUCCUACGGGAGGCAGCAGUGGGGAAUAUUGCACAAUGGGCGCAAGCCUGAUGCAGCCAUGCCGCGUGUGUGAAGAAGGCCUUCGGGUUGUAAAGCACUUUCAGCGGGGAGGAAGGCGUUAAGGUUAAUAACCUUGGCGAUUGACGUUACCCGCAGAAGAAGCACCGGCUAACUCCGUGCCAGCAGCCGCGGUAAUACGGAGGGUGCAAGCGUUAAUCGGAAUUACUGGGCGUAAAGCGCACGCAGGCGGUCUGUCAAGUCGGAUGUGAAAUCCCCGGGCUCAACCUGGGAACUGCAUUCGAAACUGGCAGGCUAGAGUCUUGUAGAGGGGGGUAGAAUUCCAGGUGUAGCGGUGAAAUGCGUAGAGAUCUGGAGGAAUACCGGUGGCGAAGGCGGCCCCCUGGACAAAGACUGACGCUCAGGUGCGAAAGCGUGGGGAGCAAACAGGAUUAGAUACCCUGGUAGUCCACGCCGUAAACGAUGUCGAUUUGGAGGUUGUGCCCUUGAGGCGUGGCUUCCGGAGCUAACGCGUUAAAUCGACCGCCUGGGGAGUACGGCCGCAAGGUUAAAACUCAAAUGAAUUGACGGGGGCCCGCACAAGCGGUGGAGCAUGUGGUUUAAUUCGAUGCAACGCGAAGAACCUUACCUGGUCUUGACAUCCACAGAACUUUCCAGAGAUGGAUUGGUGCCUUCGGGAACUGUGAGACAGGUGCUGCAUGGCUGUCGUCAGCUCGUGUUGUGAAAUGUUGGGUUAAGUCCCGCAACGAGCGCAACCCUUAUUCUUUGUUGCCAGCGGUCCGGCCGGGAACUCAAAGGAGACUGCCAGUGAUAAACUGGAGGAAGGUGGGGAUGACGUCAAGUCAUCAUGGCCCUUACGACCAGGGCUACACACGUGCUACAAUGGCAUAUACAAAGAGAAGCGACCUCGCGAGAGCAAGCGGACCUCAUAAAGUAUGUCGUAGUCCGGAUUGGAGUCUGCAACUCGACUCCAUGAAGUCGGAAUCGCUAGUAAUCGUAGAUCAGAAUGCUACGGUGAAUACGUUCCCGGGCCUUGUACACACCGCCCGUCACACCAUGGGAGUGGGUUGCAAAAGAAGUAGGUAGCUUAACCUUCGGGAGGGCGCUUACCACUUUGUGAUUCAUGACUGGGGUGAAGUCGUAACAAGGUAACCGUAGGGGAACCUGCGGUUGGAUCACCUCCUUACCUUAAAGAA